UACGUAGGGUGCGAGCGUUGUCCGGAAUUACUGGGCGUAAAGAGCUCGUAGGUGGUUUGUCGCGUUGUUCGUGAAAACCUGAGGCUUAACCUUGGGCGUGCGGGCGAUACGGGCAGACUGGAGUACUGCAGGGGAGACUGGAAUUCCUGGUGUAGCGGUGGAAUGCGCAGAUAUCAGGAGGAACACCGGUGGCGAAGGCGGGUCUCUGGGCAGUAACUGACGCUGGAGGAGCGAAAGCGUGGGGAGCGAACAGG
rnacentral:rRNA from 1 species